GUCCGGAAAGAAAACUUGCGCCCUAAUAUGGUGCGAGGAUGACGGUACCGGAAGAAUAAGCACCGGCUAACUACGUGCCAGCAGCCGCGGUAAUACGUAGGGUGCGAGCGUUAAUCGGAAUUACUGGGCGUAAAGCGUGCGCAGGCGGUCUGUUAAGACCGAUGUGAAAUCCCCGGGCUUAACCUGGGAACUGCAUUGGUGACUGGCAGGCUUUGAGUGUGGCAGAGGGAGGUAGAAUUCCACGUGUAGCAGUGAAAUGCGUAGAGAUGUGGAGGAAUACCGAUGGCGAAGGCAGCCUCCUGGGCCAACACUGACGCUCAUGCACGAAAGCGUGGGGAGCAAACAGGAUUAGAUACCCUGGUAGUCCACGCCCUAAACGAUGUCAACUAGUUGUUGGGGAUUCAUUUCCUUAGUAACGUAGCUAACGCGUGAAGUUGACCGCCUGGGGAGUACGGUCGCAAGAUUAAAACUUAAAGGAAUUGACG
rnacentral:rRNA from 1 species